rnacentral:rRNA from 1 species
GACGAACGCUGGCGGCGUGCCUAAUACAUGCAAGUAGAACGCACAGUUUAUACCGUAGCUUGCUACACCAUAGACUGUGAGUUGCGAACGGGUGAGUAACGCGUAGGUAACCUGCCUGGUAGCGGGGGAUAACUAUUGGAAACGAUAGCUAAUACCGCAUAAUAUUAAUUAUUGCAUGAUAAUUAAUUGAAAGGUGCAAUUGCACCACUACCAGAUGGACCUGCGUUGUAUUAGCUAGUAGGUGAGGUAACGGCUCACCUAGGCGACGAUACAUAGCCGACCUGAGAGGGUGAUCGGCCACACUGGGACUGAGACACGGCCCAGACUCCUACGGGAGGAAGCAGUAGGGAAGCUUCGGCAAUGGACGAAAGUCUGACCGAGAAACGCCGCGGGAGUGAAGAAGGUUUUCGGAUCGUAAAGCACUGUUGUAAGAGAAGAACGGGUGUGAGAGUGGAAAGUUCACACUGUGACGGUAUCUUACCAGAAAGGGACGGCUAACUACGUG